AGAUUAUUAUUUACACCGUGCCUUUAGGCACUGGCUAGUGACAAACAAAUAUGAUUAUAAUAAAUUAAAAUUUUGAUUGGAUGGGUUAAAGUCAAAUUUUUUUUUUCUUCUUCCCUUUACCACUGUGACUCAACUCAAUAUAUUUUAGUUUCGUUGGGUGCAAAUCAUCCCUUAUUUUGUACAAGAGCUGAACCUAUUCUUUCCUUUAUUUAUUUGUUUUCUUUCUUUCUUGAUUAUCAGGUUAUCCUUUAUGUUUACUUAACUUUCAUUAGCUGUUAAUGGAUGCAGUUAUAUUGAAUUUAUUGACAGUAUAUUCUGUGUCAUUUAGCAGGUUCAUGUAUAGUCCAGUGUAUAAAUUGUUUUCUUCUUAGUUUCAUGAAACCCCAUAUUUCACCUCAUUUCAUUUCAUAUAUGUCUAUCGGGUUAUAAUUUCUACUGGGUUUUGUUUGUUUUGAUGUUUUUGUGAAGUUUAAGGUGUCAUUCAUGGGUAUUUUGUUUCAUGAAAUUAACUGUUCUGUUUUCAUAUCCCUAUUAUAUAAAAAAUGGGUAUAGGCUGAUAUGUUGCAUUCACUUUCCUAAGAUUUGAAUCGGAGAAAGAAAGAGAAACUUGUGUUGUAGAGAAUAAACAGAAGAUAUUUGUAGUUUCAAUUAUAUUUUUAGCAAUAAAAUUUGAUGUUAUCUGCCACUUUAACAACAAAUUUAGUACAUCACUAAAUUUGUCUUUCUUGGGUUAAUAAAAAUCCCGGUGGUAUAAUUCCAAAGGGAAUGGUUACCUUAUGCAUAUGAUUUUUUGUUUCUUUUUUUUUCUAUAAUUUUUAAAAAAAUAAAAUAAAAAUUCUAUUAGUAGCCAUGCAUAUGUAAAGGCUAUUCGCGCUGCUCAGCAUUUCAUCUAUAUUGAAAAUCAAUAUAUCAUAGGGUCUUCAUACAAUUGGAGCUCCCAUAAAGACAUAGGUAAGGAACUAUUCCCUCACAUGCAAAAAUCAUGAUGUUUAUAUUUCUUUUUCUAAAAGCACAAAUGAUAGAAUCUUCUAUAGACCGAAAACUACCCAACCAAAACUUAAAAAAAAUUUAUCUGGCAUUUUUGUUUAUGUUAUGCAAUAUUAGAUAUUAUGGUGUGAAAAAAUUGAUGCAAUUUAAGAGUACCUGGUGGACUUGAGCAUGGUUAAUGAUUAUCUCAAAACUAGAUAGUUGAAGUCACUUUUGGCAUGAAAUUUGGUUUGCAGAAGUGGCUUACAGACUCCACUAAGUAUAUAUACACUCCUAUUUGACGAUUUCAUUGCAUAAUUGAAUCUCAAUCUCUCUUUCUCUCCGAAGAAAUAUGGAACAAGAAACUACAAUGGAGGAGGCAUUGCCCUCAGAGAAAAGCGAUGUAGUAGAAGAAAAAUAGAGCUUCGAGAGAUGGAGUUCGUAUCAGUACGUGGAAAGGGCUGGUUCUAUAAUUCCAACAGCUUCCUUGGCUGGAACUGAAGUCAGCGUCGACGAAAUUCGAUUUGCUACUGCUUUUUCUGAUCGAUAUUACCCUCCUUCUCUUCACGCCCCUUUGAUCAGCUCACCUGAACCAGAUCCUAAUGAGCAAGCUCUCAUUUAUCAAGGUGGAUAUGGAGGAGAUUAUGGUGGAAUGUCUAAUGAAUUUCAGAGAUGCGAACAAUUUGAUUCCCAUGGAAAUUACACUUAAAAUUGCUGAGAAAAUCAGAGCACGUGAGAGGUUUGCUGCUUAUAUUGUUAUUCCAAUGUGGCCAGAAGGCAAUCCAACAGGUGUUGCUACACAAAGGAUUUUAUUUUGGCAAGUAGGAACCAAUUAAGACUUCAAUGCAUAGCAUUGUGCUUCUGCAUUUUAAAUGCAGCUUCAGAGAUGGAUAACUUUGUUGCCUUUUUUUUCAUUAGAUUAAUAUGGGAAAUCAAAAAAUUCUAUUAAUCUGCCCAUCAGUGUACAUACUUCAGAAGGAUCAAUUUUUGAUUUUGAAAUUAUCUCUCAUUUAUUGCACAAAACAAAAUAAUGCAAAUGAUGUAUGAGACCAUUUACAAGGCUUUAGUGGAGGUUGGGCUUCAGAAUGAAUACACCCCACAAGACUAUUUGAAUUUACGUUCAUAUUUGGAAAGCACUGGUGUGCAUUUUGUU